rnacentral:rRNA from 1 species
GACGAACCGUGCGAACGUUGUUCGGAAUCACUGGGCGUAAAGGGCGCGUAGGCGGUGCUCUAAGUUAGAUGUGAAAACUCUGGGCUCAACCCAGAGCCUGCAUCUAAAACUGGAGUGCUAGAGUUCUGGAGGGGGUAGCGGAAUUCCUGGUGUAGCGGUGAAAUGCGUAGAUAUCAGGAGGAACACCGGUGGCGAAGGCGGCUACCUGGACAGAAACUGACGCUGAGGCGCGAAAGCUAGGGGAGCAAACGGG